rfam:Oryza glaberrima chromosome 1 Oglab01_0004_2, whole genome shotgun sequence.
AAUAAGUGUAGUUUUACACUAUUCACAUUCAACGUUUGACCAUUCGUCUCAUUUAAAAAUUUUGUAUUAGAUAAUAAAAUAUGAAUAAUACUUUAUGUGUGGCUAUUUUUUUAAUUAUUUUAUAAAUUUUUUAAAUAAGAAGAACGGUCAAACGUUGGACACGGAUAUUCACGGCUGUAUUUAUU